rnacentral:rRNA from 1 species
GACGAACGCUGGCGGCGUGCUUAACACAUGCAAGUCGAACGGAAAGGCCCUGCUUUUGUGGGGUGCUCGAGUGGCGAACGGGUGAGUAACACGUGAGUAACCUGCCCUUGACUUUGGGAUAACUUCAGGAAACUGGGGCUAAUACCGGAUAGGAGCUCCUGCUGCAUGGUGGGGGUUGGAAAGAUUCGGCGGUGGGGGAUGGACUCGCGGCUUAUCAGCUUGUUGGUGGGGUAGUGGCUUACCAAGGCUUUGACGGGUAGCCGGCCUGAGAGAGUGACCGGCCACAUUGGGACUGAGAUACGGCCCAGACUCCUACGGGAGGCAGCAGUGGGGAAUAUUGCACAAUGAGCGGAAGCCUGAUGCAGCAACGCCGCGUGCGGGAUGACGGCCUUCGGGUUGUAAACCGCUUUCGCCUGUGACGAAGCGUGAGUGACGGUAAUGGGUAAAGAAGCACCGGCUAACUACGUG